UGAUGAGGAAAUGAGGGAGUUGGCCUGC
rnacentral:piRNA from 1 species